UUGAGCCAAUGGCUUGAUAGGCAGAUGUAGAAGAAAGGAAAGAGAUUUAAAAAUAAUCUGCUAGCAAUUGAGACUCACAGGCCUCUCUAUUCAUUAUCAGAACCAAGAACAACUCAGGCAAAAGAAGCAGUCAUUAAGAAUAAAAAAUUUGCACACGAAAGAAACGAGAGAAAGCCAUGUUUAUUCCAAGCAG